rnacentral:rRNA from 1 species
CCUACGGGUGGCAGCAGUGAGGAAUAUUGGUCAAUGGGCGAAAGCCUGAACCAGCCAAGUAGCGUGAGGGAUGAAGGCCCUAUGGGUUGUAAACUGCUUUUGCAUGGGAGUAAAGGGCAGUACUUGUACAGGUUUGCAUGUACCGUGUGAAUACGGAUCGGCUAAAUCCGUGCCAGCAGCCGCGGUAAUACGGAGGCGCCGGGCGUUAUCCGGAUUUAUUGGGGUUAAAGGGUGCGUAGGCGGUGGUGUAAGUCAGGGGUGAAAGUCGGGGGCGCAACCGUAGAACUGCAGUUGAUACUGGCCGCCUGGAGUACAGGAGAGGCAGGCGGAAUUCGUGGUGUAGCGGUGAAAUGCGUAGAUAUCACGAGGAACCCCGAUUGCGAAGGCAGCCUGCUGGACUGUAACUGACGCUGAGGCUCGAAGGUGUGGGUAUCAAACAGGAUUAGAUACCCCUGUAGUC